rnacentral:rRNA from 1 species
UCGAGAAUCUUCGGCAAUGGGCGAAAGCCUGACCGAGCGACGCCGCGUGCGGGAUGAAGGCCUUCGGGUUGUAAACCGCUGUCAGUGGGGAGGAAAUGCUGGAGGGUUCUCCCUUCAGUUUGACCUAUCCGCAGAGGAAGUACGGGCUAAGUUCGUGCCAGCAGCCGCGGUAACACGAACCGUACGAACGUUAUUCGGAAUCACUGGGCUUAAAGGGUGCGUAGGCGGCCUGGUAAGUUGGGUGUGAAAUCCCUCGGCUUAACCGAGGAAUUGCGCUCAAAACUGCCAGGCUAGAGGAAGUCAGAGGUGAGUGGAACUUAGGGUGGAGCGGUGAAAUGCGUUGAUAUCCUAAGGAACACCAGUGGCGAAAGCGACUCACUGGGGCUUUUCUGACGCUGAGGCACGAAAGCUAGGGGAGCGAACGGG